ACCAAUAGUUUAGACUUAUUCAUAAUUUAAAAGUAACUGAAUUUUACUUUAUCUUUAAUUACAUUUAAAUAUCAGCCUUGAAUUUAAAGUUUGAAAAGCAUUGUUAAACGAAAACCUAUCGAAGUUACUAAGUAAUUGGAUUUUAAUUGUGAAUUAUUAUAAAAGAUACUUUACUACCGUUUAAGUUUCUUGGUGAGCUAAUUAGCAUUAAAAGUCAGUCGUCUCAUAACCCUUGAUACGGUAAGCUCACCCAAAGAAUAAAACCCACACUCAGCAAAUCUUAACUCUGGUUCUUUUAUUUCUUUGUCUCGUUUCCAUACUUUGUCCAAUGGUUCAUAAUUUCUCACCUAUCGAGAAAUUGUGCCAAACCACUGACAUCUCAUCUUCUCCCAGCUUAAUAAAGGCAAGCACAUCUGCUGUCCCCCACAACCUCCAACACAUACAGUCCAAACAUUGAUUUGCAUUGGUGGCGACCAAUAGAUUCAACAAACAUCAUCUUGCUCCACCAAUCCCCCCAUACUCCAAUCUAGUUUAAACAUGGUCCACUCGAGGAGAGAACACUCAAACCAGCAAAGAUCAACAUCAAGCGUAAGCGAAGAGAGCAGAAGAACAUCAAUCCAUCAUCAGCAACGGUCGCCCAACAUGUAUAAAUGCAAGUUAUGCAAUAAGUUCCACGCACUGAAGGUUUGUCCCAAAUUUCUGAAAAUGACGCCAAAACAGCGAAAUGUUUUGGUACUUAAAGAAACGUACUGCGUAAAUUGUCUUGCAAGAAGCCACAGAUUCCGCGAUUGUCGAUCCCGCAAUAUGUGCAGAAGAUGCGGAAGGCCACACAAUACUUUACUUCACCCCAAUUACACGAAUCGAAAAGGAAACCAGACCAGCAACAACAGCACCAAAAGCGGCAACAACAGUGGCAACAACAGUAGCAACAACAGCAGAGACAAUAACAACAGCAACAACAACCAAUGUGAAUCUGGGGCAAAUCAGAAAAUUUUGUCUGAAGCUAUUCGUGCGUUAGCAACCGUUCUAUGUUCGUCACCAAAGUGAUUUUGUCCGCGGUGGCAGCAUGUCUAAACCAAUAGUUUAGACUUAUUCAUAAUUUAAAAGUAACUGAAUUUUACUUUAUCUUUAAUUACAUUUAAAUAUCAGCCUUGAAUUUAAAGUUUGAAAAGCAUUGUUAAACGAAAACCUAUCGAAGUUACUAAGUAAUUGGAUUUUAAUUGUGAAUUAUUAUAAAAGAUACUUUACUACCGUUUAAGUUUCUUGGUGAGCUAAUUAGCAUUAAAAGUCAGUCGUCUCAUAACCCUUGAUACGCUUAAUAAAGGCAAGCACAUCUGCUGUCCCCCACAACCUCCAACACAUACAGUCCAAACAUUGAUUUGCAUUGGUGGCGACCAAUAGAUUCAACAAACAUCAUCUUGCUCCACCAAUCCCCCCAUACUCCAAUCUAGUU